AAUUGACAUUUUAUACAGUUAUGAUAAGUUUGUUCGGCCGUAUUUGCUAUUUUCAAUGGCACACAUUUUAAUUAAUCUUUUCAUUGUCCCUUUCUGCGUUUAUUGCAAAGAAGCGACAGAACCGGUUGAUCCAAAAUGCUUCGUACCUGGAAAACAAGAAAAACGAUGUUGUUCAGACUAUAGAACAAUCGAUGCAAAAUGUUACGCAUGCAUAGGUUCCUUUGGAAUGGAAUGUGUUAAACCAUGUCCUUCUGGAUACCAUGGAAUACAAUGCUCGGAGAAAUGUCUGUGUGAUGAAUGUCACAGAACAACUGGAGCAUGCCCUAACCUAACUAUAACAACAGGUCAUGUUCAAUCAUAUCAUAUAUAUUACAUUGUUUAUCUACUUUUUAAGAAAACAAAACAAGUUUUUUAAAAGGAAUUUUUAAAUAUAUUAAGUGUACAAUAUUUCAGAUAAUCUACAAGAUAAAACACUGGUCUCGCAGCUAAUUUUGUUUUUAACUUGUUUGUAGAGAUCGAAAGACAUGCGAAAGAGAAGUGUUAUAACCAAGUAAUCAUCAUCCUUCUCAGUGGCUGCAUUGUAUCUUUACUAGUGCUGUUGGUGACAGUUGUGGUAAAAAGGAAAACGACUUCAUUUGACCACUACCAGCAUGGACUUGUAAACAUAGACACGACCUCUGCAGGUUAUUCAACGGCUGAAAACCAAACAUAUCUUGAAUGUGACCCUACAAAAAUGAUUGAAAUCAAAUACAUCGACAAUCAAAUGGAAGAGCUCCGGAAUAGUGAAUCAAGAUCUGAACAUUACGUCUCUGUCACUUCAAAAUUUAACCCUAAAGAGGACGAUAAACGUCCUCCUAGGUCAGAUGUAUGGAAGACAAUCAAAGAGGAUGUAAAAAAGAAUAAAGAAAAAAAGAGUGUCAUGCGUAUACUCUCAAAAAGAUUUUCUUUGAGUAAUACAAGCGACAAAUGUAGUUACAUGUCUGUUGUUGACCAGACGCCACCUUAAAAUACCGAAUUAAUUUUAUAUCACAUUCAUAUUUAAUGUAUAUAAUUGUUUGAUUUUUUAUAUUGUAUUUUUAAAAAAACAUA
rnacentral:misc_RNA from 1 species